GCUUGGCUCAGUGGAUAGAGUGUUGGCCUGCAGACCAAAGAGUACUGGGUUCAAUUCCGGUCAAGCA
rnacentral:tRNA from 1 species